rnacentral:rRNA from 1 species
UGGGGAAUCUUGCGCAAUGGGCGAAAGCCUGACGCAGCCAUGCCGCGUGGAUGAUGAAGGUCUUAGGAUUGUAAAAUCCUUUCACCGGUGAAGAUAAUGACUGUAGCCGGAGAAGAAGCCCCGGCUAACUUCGUGCCAGCAGCCGCGGUAAUACGAAGGGGGCUAGCGUUGCUCGGAAUUACUGGGCGUAAAGGGAGCGUAGGCGGACAUUUAAGUCAGGGGUGAAAUCCCGGAGCUCAACUCCGGAACUGCCUUUGAUACUGGAUGUCUUGAGUGUGAGAGAGGUGAGUGGAACUCCGAGUGUAGAGGUGAAAUUCGUAGAUAUUCGGAAGAACACCAGUGGCGAAGGCGACUCACUGGCUCAUUACUGACGCUGAGGCUCGAAAGCGUGGGGAGCAAACAGGAUUAGAUACCCUGGUAGUCCACGCCGUAAACGAUGAUUGCUAGUUGCCGGGGAGCUUGCUCUUCGGUGACGCAGCUAACGCAUUAAGCAAUCCGCCUGGGGGAGUACGGUCGCAAGAUUAAAACUUAAAGGAAUU